CUAUUGGAUCUUAUCAUCCACGCCCCUUUACACCCGCGAACCAGAUUUGCCAGAGGUUGCUGAACGGUACCAAUGGCACAGAUUACUAAAUCGGAGAAUGUUGCGUAAAUCUGCUGAACAUCCUAUGAAACAGUUUGCUCCUUUGGCGUAUAUGCUUGCUGAAUAUGAAAAGCGCCAAACUGAAUGAAAUGUAACAAAAUGUUCAACUGUAUUUUGGCGAGCUAUUUGUCUCAGUGAUUGACCUGCUUGGAGAACAGACAGUGCAUCACAAACAGCAUCAGGCCCUGGAGGCUGGCGAAGAUGGUGAACAGGUAAGACAUGACCAUGGUGUUCUUUUCAAAUUGGAAGCAGCCAAAAAUCCACGUGAUGCCAAGCACGCAAAGCUGGGCCACUGCUGUGACGGUGAAAGCUCUGCAGGGGGCGGCAAAGAAGCACGUUGGGAGAAAUAAGGGGCGGGUGGGGCUUCACUCAACACAUCUUUGGUGUUUAGGUCAGGGUUCAGACUUGAGAAUUUCUGCGCCAACUUCCACGCCGUGAUCAGAAAGAAGAAAAUGUUGAUCUGGAAAGCAACAG